AUUUAAUUAGCUUAAUUUAAAGUUUAACAUUGAAAAUGUUAAGAUAGUUUUACUAUUAAAUA
rnacentral:tRNA from 1 species